CCGUGAUGAUUGGACUGUGUUUUAACAACUAUAUUAUACAUUUCAGGUUUGUGAAAAAUUAAAGUGGACUGAAAAGUGUGAAAUUCGUUGAUCACAUAAGUGGAUAUUGUUUGAACAAGGAUAUUUGCGAGCUUCAAUGUUGCAAGAAUGUAUAGAGAUAUAUAAACAGAACUUCAAUUAAGAUUAAGUAUCAUUACACAAGAGGACAUCUUUUAAAUGCGAGUGGAAGUACAACCACGUGAGGGCAUGUAAUCCAGUCUGGCCAAUCAGCUGUUCUCGUAUUGAGCAGUCUUUCAGCGUAUUGACGACCUUGAGUACCGCACACGUGAAUACUCUACUAUGAUAGAAGUUUGAUGCACUGCGCAGAAUCGAAAUUGCAUAGUCACUCCCGCUGGCGGGGGUGGGCGUCGCUGUGCUGGAGCAAUACAUCACGUGUUCACCCCCCGUUCUCCCCCGACGUCCACACUAGCGUAAAUUCCAUUGAACCACACCCAUGCUUCUAAACGGAAAACAAACAUCGUAUCGCGGCAUCUCGCCGUGUUUAGACAUAACGCUGAGGUAAGCGCAUACGAUAACAAGCUCCAAUGAGCUUACCUAACAUAAAAAUUUGGAGCUUGAUAUCACAGUAUUUGGUGUUUUUAAGCUGUUGCGUGUUUAUAUCGACGCACUUCUGUCGAGAUUCGCGACGCAUGGGGCGCCGUCUGCGCCCUUGGACGCCCACUUUCAAACUGAUACGCAUGUUUUUAUUAUAAUUUGAGGUUAGAAUUUUGUUCUAUUUCGCCCCGUGCGCGGGCUCGCACAGGCGCGGCAUAUUGAUGUUGACAAUCGAUGCGGACAACGACCUUGCGCUGUGGGCAUCCUACUUUACCGACGACACCAACGAUUUUCGAGCUACGCGCUUGCGCAGUGCUAUCCGUUUGGGCGGCAUAAAACAUUUCCUCGCCCUGCUCCGAGCAGAGCACAUCCAUAUCAAUUUGCUCUAUACCGAACCGAGCGAGAGCCGACAAUUUCCAAAUAUAACAGCGGAAAGUAGGUUAAAACACAACGCGAAAAAUAUAGUGCAUCGGAGUUCGUAUAAACAGAACGCGUUUUCCAGUCCCAUUUAAUAUUUUAUACAGAUGCCAUGUGCUAAAAAUGAUGACCCAAAAAUCCAUGUGAGAGAAGAUCGAGGCGCAAUCCUACCAAGGGUAAUAUCAAGCGACACUAUAAUCAAGAAAUAAUUGUUUUUUAUUAAUAAAUAAUAUAUAUCUUUGUGAA